AACGCACAUUGCGCCCUUUGGUAUUCCAAAGGGCAUGCCUGUUCGAGCGUCAUUUGUACCCUCAAGCUUUGCUUGGUGUUGGGCGUCUUUUGUCUCCAGUUCGCUGGAGACUCGCCUUAAAGUCAUUGGCAGCCGGCGUAUUGAUUUCGGAGCGCAGUACAAGCUCGCGCUUUGCACUCACAACGGACAGACGUCCAGAAAGUACAUUUUUUACAACUCUUGACCUCGGAUCAGGUAGGGAUACCCGCUGAACUUAA
rnacentral:misc_RNA from 1 species